rnacentral:lncRNA from 1 species
UUUGAGUCAUUUUUUCUCACCCAUUUUGUGACAGUAACAAAGUUUGGCUGACUGAGCGCUCAUGGGCUAGGAUGCAGCUGCCAGCUCCUGAAGCUACGGGCAAGUAAGAUUGAUGAAGCAGGAAUAUUCUUCUGAGAAGCAAAGCAUGCUGGGGGAAUUCUGCAGCAAUGCACAGAGAGGACAAGGAAUAAGAAGCCGGUCUCUACAGGGGACAGAACCAAGAAGUGGAACGGCCAGGCCUCUGGAUCCAUCGAGUCCUGACUCCAUCUCACUCCAUCUCACUCUUCUGCUCUGAUGGUCCCUGCAGUGGCCAGUGUGAAGUUUGACAUGUGGUUGGUGACUCUGCCUUACUUCCCAGGCUCCAUCCUCCACCGGCCUGUCUCACAUGACAACCACAUGGCAGGUGGCCUUUUACAGUGCUUGAUGGUUCUCACACAACAGACAUCUAA